rnacentral:rRNA from 1 species
UACGUAGGGGGCAAGCGUUGUCCGGAUUUACUGGGCGUAAAGAGCGUGUAGGCGGCCACGCAGGUCCGUUGUGAAAACUGGAGGCUCAACCUCCAGCUGUCGACGGAAACCGUAUGGCUAGAGUCCGGAAGAGGAGAGUGGAAUUCCUGGGUGUAGCGGUGAAAUGCGCAGAUAAUCAGGAAGAACACCAAUGGCGAAGGCAGCUCUCUGGGACGGUACUGACGCUGAGACGCGAAAGCGUGGGGGAGCGAACAGG